rnacentral:rRNA from 1 species
GAAGAGUUUGAUCAUGGCUCAGAUUGAACGCUGGCGGCAGGCCUAACACAUGCAAGUCGAACGGUAACAGGAAGCAGCUUGCUGCUUUGCUGACGAGUGGCGGACGGGUGAGUAAUGUCUGGGAAACUGCCUGAUGGAGGGGGAUAACUACUGGAAACGGUGGCUAAUACCGCAUAACGUCGCAAGACCAAAGAGGGGGACCUUCGGGCCUCUUGCCAUCAGAUGUGCCCAGAUGGGAUUAGCUUGUUGGUGAGGUAACGGCUCACCAAGGCGACGAUCCCUAGCUGGUCUGAGAGGAUGACCAGCCACACUGGAACUGAGACACGGUCCAGACUCCUACGGGAGGCAGCAGUGGGGAAUAUUGCACAAUGGGCGCAAGCCUGAUGCAGCCAUGCCGCGUGUAUGAAGAAGGCCUUCGGGUUGUAAAGUACUUUCAGCGGGGAGGAAGGUGUUGUGGUUAAUAACCGCAGCAAUUGACGUUACCCGCAGAAGAAGCACCGGCUAACUCCGUGCCAGCAGCCGCGGUAAUACGGAGGGUGCAAGCGUUAAUCGGAAUUACUGGGCGUAAAGCGCACGCAGGCGGUCUGUCAAGUCGGAUGUGAAAUCCCCGGGCUCAACCUGGGAACUGCAUUCGAAACUGGCAGGCUUGAGUCUUGUAGAGGGGGGUAGAAUUCUAGGUGUAGCGGUGAAAUGCGUAGAGAUCUGGAGGAAUACCGGUGGCGAAGGCGGCCCCCUGGACAAAGACUGACGCUCAGGUGCGAAAGCGUGGGGAGCAAACAGGAUUAGAUACCCUGGUAGUCCACGCCGUAAACGAUGUCUACUUGGAGGUUGUGCCCUUGAGGCGUGGCUUCCGGAGCUAACGCGUUAAGUAGACCGCCUGGGGAGUACGGCCGCAAGGUUAAAACUCAAAUGAAUUGACGGGGGCCCGCACAAGCGGUGGAGCAUGUGGUUUAAUUCGAUGCAACGCGAAGAACCUUACCUGGUCUUGACAUCCACGGAAGAAUUCAGAGAUGGAUUUGUGCCUUCGGGAACCGUGAGACAGGUGCUGCAUGGCUGUCGUCAGCUCGUGUUGUGAAAUGUUGGGUUAAGUCCCGCAACGAGCGCAACCCUUAUCCUUUGUUGCCAGCGAUUAGG